GGAGUUAGCCGGUGCUUCUUCUGCGAGUAACGUCACAGAUGUAAGGUAUUAACUUACACCCUUUCCUCCUCGCUGAAAGUGCUUUACAACCCGAAGGCCUUCUUCACACACGCGGCAUGGCUGCAUCAGGGUUUCCCCCAUUGUGCAAUAUUCCCCACUGCUGCCUCCCGUAGGAGUCUGGGCCGUGUCUCAGUCCCAGUGUGGCUGAUCAUCCUCUCAGACCAGCUAGGGAUCGUCGCCUAGGUGAGCCUUUACCUCACCUACUAGCUAAUCCCACCUGGGCUUAUCCAUCAGCGCAAGGCCCGAAGGUCCCCUGCUUUCCCCCGUAGGGCGUAUGCGGUAUUAGCAGUCGUUUCCAACUGUUAUCCCCCACAAAUGGGCAAAUUCCCAGGCAUUACUCACCCGUCCGCCGCUCGUCAUCUUCAAAAGCAAGCUUUUGAAAUGUUACCGCUCGACUUGCAUGUGUUAGGCCUGCCGCCAGCGUUCAAUCUGAGCCAUAGACUAACUAACUCUACGUACGUAGACGGGCGGUCGUCGGACGACGGGCGACUAAG
rnacentral:rRNA from 1 species